AAGACUUUUGAUUUGUCUUAUUUUUGUUUGUUGUGAUUGUGUUGCAGUUCGAUACUAUUUGGUUGGAGCGCAACCAUUCCAUAGCCGGUUAUCUUUCUUCACUGAUAAUGUUUGUGCCGAUCUUGGUUUGACCUCUUUCUUAAGCUUGCAAGCUAGGAUCAACCAUUAUAGUUUUGGUGAGGAGGACACGGAGAGGAUUUGGUCUGUGUUGGCUUUGGACGAUAGCUAAUUCGUUCUUUUCGAACGUAUGGAAAACACAUUCUCCAGAUAUAUUGGCAAACUUAUGAAGGGAGAAGUAUCUCCCCUCAUAAAGGUUCAGAUAUAUCUAAUGUACAUUGCCCUUCCUAAGCUUUAGGCCCUCAAAGUGUUAGAGCUCAAACUAAAAAUAUGCGAAGUGAUGCUAUAAUACCUUCCCUUUAGUGUCUCCAUGGAUAUCACCCAAGAGGAAGAUCUGAAGAUGCUUUAAAGAAAAAUGAGGAUGAUAUAAAGCUUUCUGAUGUAAACUUAGACAGGGAAAAGGAAUGUGGUAUAUGCCUUCAGCCAUGUGCACCGAAAUGGUCUUGACAAACUGCUGACAUGCUAUGCGCAUCAAAUGCUACUGUGACUGGAACCCUCAGAUCCUAUAAUGAGUCGAAGCAGAUGAUCAAUGGAAAUGGAUGUUACAAGCAUAUAAAAUCUCCCUUGGUUAUGGAUUAUGCCAAUAGAAUGCAUUCUGUAUGAACAAUAUAUAUUAUUUAAAUGAAUGAAUGUCAUUUAUGUGCUUCUAAAUCAAGUCCUUGAAGCUCCAAA